UAAUACGGAGGGUGCAAGCGUUAUUCGGAAUUAUUGGGCGUAAAGGGCGCGUAGGCGGUCUUUUAAGUCAGAUGUGAAAGCCCGGGGCUCAACCCCGGAAGUGCAUUUGAAACUAAAGGACUUGAGUAUGGGAGAGGGAAGUGGAAUUCCUGGUGUAGCGGUGAAAUGCGUAGAUAUCAGGAGGAACACCGGUGGCGAAGGCGACUUCCUGGACCAAUACUGACGCUGAGGCGCGAAGGCGUGGGGAGCAAACAGGAUUAGAUACCCUGGUAGUCCACGCAGUAAACGGUGAACACUAGGUGUAGCGGGCUUGACCUGCAGUGUCGCAGCUAACGCAUUAAGUACUCCGCCUGGGAAGUACGGCCGCAAGGCUA
rnacentral:rRNA from 1 species